rnacentral:rRNA from 1 species
AACGAACGCUGGCGGCGUGCCUAAUACAUGCAAGUCGAACGAGAAAGUGUAGCAAUACAUGAGUAAAGUGGCAGACGGGUGAGUAAUACUUAGGUAAUCUACCCUCGAGAUGAGAAUAACCUUCCGAAAGGAGGGCUAAUACUGAAUGAGACCACAGGUACUUCGGUACCAGGGGUCAAAGAUGGCCUCUAUUUAUAAGCUAUCGCUCGGGGAUGAGCUUAAGCACCANCAGGUUGUUGGUAAGGUAACGGCUUACCAAGCCUAUGACGGUUAGCUGAUCUGAGAGGUUGAUCAGCCACACUGGAACUGAGACACGGUCCAGACUCCUACGGGAGGCAGCAGUAGGGAAUAUUGCGCAAUGGACGAAAGUCUGACGCAGCGACGCCGCGUGGGUGAUGAAGGUUUUCGGAUCGUAAAGCCCUGUCGGAGGGGACGAAAACGGAAUGGCUAAUAUCCAUCCGCUUGACGGUACCCUCAAAGGAAGCACCGGCUAACUACGUGCC